GUUUGUUAUAUCUAUUUUGCGUGACUGUAUUUAUGCAUCCCGACAUACUUUGAACGACAAAAUUAUUUCAUGUCUACCUGUGCGAAUUUCAAACGCGCAAUUUUACACCAGUACCCAUACCCUCCUUCCUUGAUGGGUGCAUUUUACAUAGACAAAUAUAAUCGUAUAAUAUAAUCAAAAUGAGUAUGUUAAUUUGAUGUAUGCCUUUUUGUGCUUCUUCGUUACAUUUGUUGUUUUUAUAGUGAUUAAGAUGAUAACACAAUGUUGACUGCUGUACCCCA
rnacentral:lncRNA from 1 species